CCUACGGGAGGCAGUAGUGGGGAAUAUUGGACAAUGGGGGGAACCCUGAUCCAGCCAUGCCGCGUGUGUGAAGAAGGCCCUCGGGUUGUAAAGCACUUUCAGUGAGGAAGAACGCCUGGUGGUUAAUACCCAUCAGGAAAGACAUCACUCACAGAAGAAGCACCGGCUAACUCCGUGCCAGCAGCCGCGGUAAUACGGAGGGUGCGAGCGUUAAUCGGAAUUACUGGGCGUAAAGCGCGCGUAGGUGGCUUGAUAAGCCGGUUGUGAAAGCCCCGGGCUCAACCUGGGAACGGCAUCCGGAACUGUCAAGCUAGAGUGCAGGAGAGGAAGGUAGAAUUCCCGGUGUAGCGGUGAAAUGCGUAGAGAUCGGGAGGAAUACCAGUGGCGAAGGCGGCCUUCUGGACUGACACUGACACUGAGGUGCGAAAGCGUGGGUAGCAAACAGGAUUAGAUACCCGGGUAGUC
rnacentral:rRNA from 1 species